AGCACACUGCUGGAUCAGGCCAUGGGAGAAGUGCUCAAUGACAGAGUGACAGAGCUCUAUCAGGAACACAGGCACUACAUGAAGACCACCCGGGCACGAGUGAAUCAUCAGUGACCUUUUUCAUCACAUGCUCUUUUGAAGCUAAACUUCAGAGGACUUCAUCUCAGUGAAAACAGGCAGCUCUGUCGUCCUUCUGAAAGAUAUCCAGUAAGUCUCCUGCCAGACUAAAGAGGGAGAGUCAACAGAAAGCAGGUGCUGAGGGAUGAUAUAUUAAGAUGAAUUUCCAUAUUACCUUCAUUAAUGUUUAACUCAUCCUCUCUUUCUGACGUGAGGCUGUAUAAAGCCUUGCAUCUGCCGACUGAGUGGAAUUCUGAGUCUGUUUAGGGGAUUCAACACCCAAAAAUGAAAUCAGGAGUUUGUGUGUUAAUAAAACAAUGUUAAAUAUG